AUCCUGCACUCAACCUGCAUCGAGACAACACGCUGUCCUGUUUCAAGAUGAAGCUUAUCUCCUUUUUGAUGGCUAUGCUGGCGGCCCUGGCAUGCUUCCUGGGAUCCGCUCGCGCUAUGCCCGACGCCCUUGCCCUGGCUGACCCUCACCCCUUGGCUGGCCCUGACCCCGUGGCUGACCCUGACCCUUGGGGCUAUGGAAGUCGUAGGUAUGGCUUUGGAGGCUAUGGAUACCGUCGUCACUACAGGCGCUGGUAGAAAAGGUCAACCCUAGCUACAGUGACCUCGUAGAUUUAGGAAAGACCUGCCUAAUGCAGUCGUAAUUGUGACGUUGUAUUAUUCAUCAUAACCAAAUUACCAGUUUGAUAACCCUGAAUAAAAUCUUUUAAUCCA